rnacentral:rRNA from 1 species
GAUGAACGCUGGCGGCGUGCCUAAUACAUGCAAGUCGAGCGAACAGACGAGGAGCUUGCUCCUCUGACGUUAGCGGCGGACGGGUGAGUAACACGUGGAUAACCUACCUAUAAGACUGGGAUAACUUCGGGAAACCGGUGCUAAUCCCGGCUAAUAUAUUGAACCGCCUGGUUAACUAGUGAAAGCCGGUUUUGCUGUCACUUAUAGAUGGAUCCGCGCCGCAUUAGCUAGUUGGUAAGGUAACGGCUUACCAAGGCAACGAUGCGUAGCCGACCUGAGAGGGUGAUCGGCCACACUGGAACUGAGACACGGUCCAGACUCCCACGGGAGGCAGCAGUAGGGAAUCUUCCGCAAUGGGCGAAAGCUUGACGGAGCAACGCCGCGUGAGUGAUGAAGGUCUUCGGAUCGUAAAACUCUGUUAUUAGGGAAGAACAAAUGUGUAAGUAACUAUGCACGUCUUGACGGUACCUAAACAGAAAGCCACGGCUAACUACGUG